rnacentral:tRNA from 1 species
AUCAAGGUGUCUGAUUAAAGUAAUAAACUGUAAAUUUAUUCAAGAAAUAGCUAUUCCCUUGAUA